GUUAUACAUGUAGUUCCCCCUUUUUACCUUUAAUUUCUCCUCUCAAGAGAAAAUUCUGAGUGUUUGAAGCCAUAUUGUUUGUUAAAGAUUUAUUUUUUUCUUUCAAGUGUUAUUAUUCCUACAUGAAUACAUAUUUAGAAACAUAACAUUAUCGAUGUAUGAUUGUACGCAUGAGCAGUUUUUUCGAUUCAAGUAUCAAAUUUCGUUUAGCAUUGUAGUACAAGAGUUGUUUCCUGUUUAUGAUUAGGUUUCAUUGUUAUCCUGUAUUGUUGGAUCUAACAGUACUGCAAUCCAACAAUGAAUAAGUUUUCAUUGAAUUUCUUGAAAAUAUAUUUAUCGAGUUAUAUUACUUUUUCAAUUACAGCCAUAUUAACGUACUGUAGGAACAUUGGGGCUUGUGUGUAUUACGUUUGAUGAUUAUUUCAGCAAGAUAAAACAACAAUUUGCAUAUGUUAUGUAAUUUUAGUUUACAUGGAAAUGGAAAUUCAGUUCAGGUGUGAUAACAAAGUGAUUUUUGUUACUAUUGUAAUAAAAGAAACCCCACUGUGUAUUGCAAUCGCAGCUUCUCGGGCCUUUCCGUCAGAGCUCGGAAAAGUUUUUUCCGAGCCUGCCGGAAAAGCACGAGAAACUGCGGUUGUGUGUAUUGUACAUUGCAUGUUCACCAUAUUUACAUACAUACAGAGAAAGUGCUUUCCAUGAUUCCAGUGUAAUUGUGUCUUUAUGUUGGGGCUUAUUUGGCUUGUUAGAGAAAACCAGAAGAAUGAAAACAUCAUAGUACUAGCUUUUUCUCUUGAUGUACAUGUAUGCAAUAAACUUUGCUUUAUUUUG
rnacentral:misc_RNA from 1 species